UAGGUUAGUGCAAAAGUAAUUGAGGGUUUUGCCAUUUAACGUAAUGGCAAGAGCCACAAUUACUUUUGCACCAACCUAAUAAA
ensembl:miRNA